rnacentral:SRP_RNA from 1 species
UUGGCUUGACCGGGGCGUUUGGCGUGCCCUAUACCCGAAAUCGUCAUAGCGGGGGUGACAGCAGCGGGCGGUCCUGCUGAGGUCCAUAAGCCCAUAGAGCAACUAUGAAAUCUUGUCCUGUAGAGUCGGAGUUUGCACAGGAAACGGCCGGAGGGUCGUUCUCCAUGCAUUAAUCGGGGAAACCGGGUCAGGUCCUGACGGGAGCAGCCUCACUUCGAACCACUGACGUUUACGGGGUCGCAGGGUGGAGAAGCGAAGUGGUCUACUUAUGUUCUGAUGUGGGAAC